ensembl:lncRNA
CUGCAAUGUUAUUUAUAGGCCACAAGGUGGCGAUAUAGAAACAAUUCUUUCCUAUUACUUGAUUCCAUGAAUAAAACAAUACACUGAUGUCAUGUUAAAAUUCAGCCACAUUGUUAUAAGACCACAUAUCUGCAGGCGGAAUAGUCAUUGUUAGUCUUCCUGUUGGAGGUAUUAUUUCAUCAUACACUUUAAAUUGCCUUCUCUAGGUCAAAAAUCAUAAUUAUACACUCUUAUAACCAUUUCUUUAAUAUUGACAUCCAUGAUAUAUAAAUAUCAAUAGAAAAUAACUUGCUUUCACAUAAGAUAAAGGAAUGCAUGAACACAACAUAUGUCUAUGGUUGCAUAUAUAUACAUACAUACAUAAAUCACAACUUUGGUAAUCAUUGAGUGUUAUUGUGUUCCAUUGUCAUUCACCACAAUAAAAUAGCUUGUAUUCAUGAAAUGUUCUGUAUUGUUAUCCUUUGGGGAACAAAUUGUGGUUCAUCUCUGAAAAUGUCGUCCCAGUUCCUUUGUGCUUGGCCACAGUGGCUUCCUCUCUCCGUAGAGAGUGGACAUAACAGGAUGCACAAACAGAUACAUCCGGUAAACCAUCUGGCUCCAUGUUCUAUAAAUGGAAUGCUUUCUGGUUUGCUUCACUGGAUACACUUGCAAUGGCUGCUAGUCUACCCAUCAUGAAUAUGUGCAUCUUUUAACAGUGACCUGGGCAUUUUGGCUGACCAGAAACAGUCAUCCUACAUUUCUUGACCAUCAAAGCCCUGUUAAUGCACAUGCAUCAGAUAACUACUGCUCCAGAAAAAAUUUAGACCACUGCACCUUAUUCAUUCCUUUCCAAAAAAGUUGAAAAGGAAGUUUUUGAGUGGGGAACAGGGAGGAAGGGUUAAAAUUAAGAGACCACUGCAAAUUGAACGCUUCUGUUCCUCAAACAAAACGUUCCUUUUCAACUUCUUUGGAAAGAAAAAAGUGCAAGUUUUCCCGGGAACUGUAUAUUUAGGACCAGUUAUUAAAUCAUGUUUUACAUUUCCCCUUUUUCAAAACAAAAUAUGCCAUGGAACAUUUCUAUAUAGCUGAUCUAGAAAGAUAUUUCUCAGAGCCAUGGUACUGACAAUAGGUAUUUGCCAGGGAUGAAGAUGUUUAUUUGAGGUGGAGAGAUGUAAUAAUCUGGGACUAUAUCAUAAUUACAAGGUUGUCAAGUGUGCAACACUUCAGCUCUUGGAGCUCGUACAAUGAUUCUAAUUCAUAACCUAAGGAAACUCUUAUCCUGCUUCACACAGUCAUGUCUGAAAACAAUAGGCAAGACAAGGGCAAACAACCUGCUAGUGGAGUCCAAAGUAAAGUCUUUAUUGAAAGGAACUAUAGUUUUUCAGUGGAAAUCAGUCAAUUGAACUACAGGGUCAAGUUGGUAAUGAUUUAAUGUAUAGUUGACGAAUAGAAUCAGAUGCGCUAGUUUAUAGUUAAAUGUGAAACAA